GGGGAGGAACUGUGGUGUCCAUGAGCUCAUCUGUGCUAGAAGAGUUUCUCCCGAGGUGCUUGGCGCGUUGUCCUCCCUCGUGGCCUUUGCGGUGCUGAUGCUGAUCUUUUUCGUCUACCUCAGCAACAAGCUGUCAGCGCAGAGUGCCUCCAGCCUCCCUGUUCUGGACAGCCCCACAGGGGACCAACAAGCGACGUAAGGCAUGGCGAUGCCACGCGGUGACGCCGACCUGCCGUCGGGCACCUGUGAUGCUCGACUAGCGUGUGCUAUAGCCCGUUGUCGGGCGACAACCACGACGACCACAAAGGCAAGGCCGGGGGGCGGGCGGGGAUCUUCACCAUGGCCUUCUUCAAGAGCUUCCAGCAGAACCUGCCCACCGUCAACAUCACCUCCCUGCUGGACUCGGUGAGCAGCCGCGUGGACGACCUGGCCACCGCCGUCAGCGACGCCACCUACAACGUCAGCGACCAGCUGACGGAGCAGGUCAGCACCAUCAUCGGCAAGGUGCAGGACGAGGAGGAGGACGGCGAGGACGGGGGCGGAGGCGAGGCGGGGACCCGCAAGGCGCGGGCCAACGCCGACCGCGGGAGCUCCUGGGGCGCCCAGCAGGCGGACGCCGGCGCCUCCUCUUCCGCCGGCGGCGGAGGGGACGAGAACGUCGGGAGCAACAGCCAGCUGGAGUGGGAGUGGCGCGACGGGUGCUGGCGGGUGAAGCGCACGGAGGAGGAGAUAGCGGAGGAGGAGAAGAAGAAGGCGGAGCAGCAGGCGUUGCAGGAGGAGAAGGAGAAGAGGCGGAAGGAACGGAGGGCGAAGCAGCAGGAGAAGGAGGCGGAGUCCCAGUCCCUGCAGGGCGCGGUCCAGGGGGAGGAGGUGGACGGAGAGUCCCUGGAAGAACCCCACAGGUCCCCCCGCAAGGCCGGGGAGGAUGGAC
ensembl:lncRNA